rnacentral:sRNA from 1 species
AGGCUCAUUUUUUUAUUAAUACACAAUUUG